rnacentral:rRNA from 1 species
UACGAAGGGGGCUAGCGUUGUUCGGAAUUACUGGGCGUAAAGCGCGCGCAGGCGGUCUUCCAAGUCAGUGGUGAAAGCCUGGAGCUCAACUCCAGAACUGCCAUUGAAACUGUUAGACUUGAGUACGAGAGAGGUGAGUGGAAUUCCCAGUGUAGAGGUGAAAUUCGUAGAUAUUGGGAAGAACACUAGUGGCGAAGGCGGCUCACUGGCUCGUAACUGACGCUCAGGCGCGACAGCGUGGGGAGUCAAACAGG